rnacentral:rRNA from 1 species
UACGAAGGGGGCUAGCGUUACUCGGAAUCACUGGGCGUAAAGCGCACGUAGGCGGCUUGUUAAGUCAGGGGUGAAAUGCCAAGGCUCAACCUUGGAACUGCCUUUGAUACUGGCAAUCUCGAGUCCGGGAGAGGUGAGUGGAACUGCGAGUGUAGAGGUGAAAUUCGUAGAUAUUCGCAAGAACACCAGUGGCGAAGGCGGCUCACUGGCCCGGUACUGACGCUGAGGUGCGAAAGCGUGGGGAGCAAACAGG